rnacentral:lncRNA from 1 species
UUUUAAUCUUGACUUGAUUAGAUAAAGAUCUGGUACAUGAAGUCAAACAGCAUUAUACUGUAUCAGUCACAAUUCUGCUGUUGUAUUAUUUAUAUUUUGGUUGUACCAGAAGUAAAACCUAUAGUCACAGUCCACCACUCAUGCCACGCUGUGCGUCCCCGCGUGUGGACUUCCUGUUUUAUUUUGAAAUCCGAUCCCAUUUGUCCGUCGUCAGUUCCACUUCUGCUCUUUGUUCGUCUCCUGUGUCCUGUCAGUCAAUCAGUCCCCGUGUGUUUGUACCUCUGUUUCCACCUGGCGCUGUUUUGUCUUUCACUGCGAGUUCCUGCGUCUCUCUGGUUUGACUUCCUGCGGACUCUUGAUUCCUGCGGGCGGCUUCUCUGGAUUUGUUUGGCUGCUAGUUGGACUUCUGGAUCUGACCUGGGCCUUCCUCAAACCCACACGUCGCCUCUCCUCAUCAGGUGAAGCACCGUGAGCUGUCCUCCCUUCUCCCCCUCAGACGUCACCCAUUGUCCCCGCAUCCCCACACCCCACUCGGCCUCACCUGUCGAACCCCCAUCCGACAGCGGCCACUGGUCCUGCCUUUACCCCAUGGUGGCCCCAAGGCCUGCCCUCUCACUGCUAUUGGCGAUCCUGGCCUGCACGGGGCCCGCACGCCCCUCGCCCCCCCUGCUGCUGCGGCCCCGGGAGAGAGAGAGGGACUCGGGUGGGGUCAACAUCGCCGUGGUCCACUCGGGCUCCUCCCUACUCCCGGAGACAACCGGAGCGGUGGGAGGCGCGGGGGUCGGCCAGCCGGGGCCGGGGCCAGGGCUGGGGCCCGGUCCGGGGAGCGGUCCGGGGGGAGGAGGAGGAGUAGGAGGAGGAAGGGGAGUGACGGAUACAGCUGCGUUGGCCGGAGUGGCUGCGAUGGCCUCGUUGUCCUCCUCCCUGUCGUCCCUGUCGCUGGCGGCGCUCGUGGGGGAGACGGUGAUGACGCCGUCGGGUCAGGCCAAUGUCAUCUACCUGACUGUGAACGAGAGCAGCCCGGGCAGCCUGCUGCUGCAGCUGUGUGAGCUGCUGGCCACCACACCACUGCAGUAAGACACUUGUGACGGGAUGUCUGAAAGCUGCUUGUGGUCGUACUUGACGGAGGUAAUAUCUCACACUACAUGCCACAUCCUCUUCAUUCACUCAUUCAUUCCCUCACUCAUAGCAUAAUGCAUGUAUCUGUUUAUCUGAAUCUGUGU